rnacentral:tRNA from 1 species
GAAAUAAAUUAAAGUUGAAUUUCUAACUCAAUUACUAAUGGGCUUCAUUAUUAUUUCU